GGCAAACUGCACCAGUUCCCUUAAUUUCCCACCGAUUUUCAUGAAAAUUGCAUGGAUGCAGAGGGUUUUUAAUUUAGAACCAUUAAUGUAUCUAUAAAAAAAAAUAAAAAAUUGGAAAUUUCCAGAGUUACAGGGAUAUUUUCAAAAAUAUGGCAAAUUAUUGAAGGUGUGUAAGAGGCAAACUGCACCAGUUCCCUUAAUUUCCCACCGAUUUUCAUGAAAAUUGCAUGGAUGCAGAGGGUUUUUAAUUUAGAACCAUUAAUGUAUCUAUAAAAAAAAUAAAAAAUUGGAAAUUUCCAGAGUUACAGGGAUAUUUUCAAAAAUAUGGCAAAUUAUCGAAGGUGUGUAAGAGGCAAACUGCACCAGUUCCCUUAAUUUCCCACCGAUUUUCAUGAAAAUUGCAUUGAUGCAAAGGGUUUUUAAUUUAGAACCAUUAGUGUAUCUAUAAAAAAAAUUAAAAAUUGGAAAUUUUCAGAGUUACAGGGAUAUUUUCAAAAAUAUGGCAAAUUAUUGAAAGUGUGUAAGAGGCAAACUGCACCAGUUCCCUUAAUUUCCCACCGAUUUUCAUGAAAAUUGCAUUGAUGCAAAGGGUUUUUAAUUUAGAACCAUUAGUGUAUCUAUAAAAAAAAUUAAAAAUUGGAAAUUUUCAGAGUUACAGGGAUAUUUUCAAAAAUAUGGCAAAUUAUUGAAAGUGUGUAAGAGGCAAACUGCACCAGUUCCCUUAAUUUCCCACCGAUUUUCAUGAAAAUUGCAUUGAUGCAAAGGGUUUUUAAUUUAGAACCAUUAGUGUAUCUAUAAAAAAAAUUAAAAAUUGGAAAUUUUCAGAGUUACAGGGAUAUUUUCAAAAAUAUGGCAAAUUAUUGAAAGUGUGUAAGAGGCAAACUGCACCAGUUCCCUUAAUUUCCCACCGAUUUUCAUGAAAAUUGCAUUGAUGCAAAGGGUUUUUAAUUUAGAACCAUUAAUGUAUCUAUAAAAAAAAAUAAAAAAUUGGAAAUUUCCAGAGUUACAGGGAUAUUUUCAAAAAUAUGGCAAAUUAUCGAAGGUGUGUAAGAGGCAAACUGCACCAGUUCCCUUAAUUUCCCACCGAUUUUCAUGAAAAUUGCAUGGAUGCAAAGGGUUUUUAAUUUAGAACCAUUAAUGUAUCUAUAAAAAAAAUAAAAAAUUGGAAAUUUCCAGAGUUACAGGGAUAUUUUCAAAAAUAUGGCAAAUUAUCGAAGGUGUGUAAGAGGCAAACUGCACCAGUUCCCUUAAUUUCCCACCGAUUUUCAUGAAAAUUGCAUUGAUGCAAAGGGUUUUUAAUUUAGAACCAUUAAUGUAUCUAUAAAAAAAAAUAAAAAAUUGGAAAUUUCCAGAGUUACAGGGAUAUUUUCAAAAAUAUGGCAAAUUAUCGAAGGUGUGUAAGAGGCAAACUGCACCAGUUCCCUUAAUUUCCCACCGAUUUUCAUGAAAAUUGCAUGGAUGCAAAGGGUUUUUAAUUUAGAACCAUUAAUGUAUCUAUAAAAAAAAUAAAAAAUUGGAAAUUUCCAGAGUUACAGGGAUAUUUUCAAAAAUAUGGCAAAUUAUCGAAGGUGUGUAAGAGGCAAACUGCACCAGUUCCCUUAA